rnacentral:rRNA from 1 species
GCAAGUCGUGGGGCAGCAGGUCCCGCAGCAAUGCGGGAUGCUGGCGACCGGCAAACGGGUGCGGAACACGUACACAACCUUCCUUUAAGUGGGGAAUAGCCCGGGGAAACCCGGAUUAAUACCCCGUAAUAUAAUGAAGUGGCAUCACUUUAUUAUUAUAGCUCCGGCGCUUGAAGAUGGGUGUGCGACUGAUUAGGCAGUUGGCGGGGUAACGGCCCACCAAACCUACGAUCAGUAACUGGUGUGAGAGCACGACCAGUCACACGGGCACUGAGACACGGGCCCGACUCCUACGGGAGGCAGCAGUAAGGAAUAUUGGUCAAUGGACGCAAGUCUGAACCAGCCAUGCCGCGUGGAGGAUGAAGGUCCUCUGGAUUGUAAACUUCUUUUAUCUGGGAAGAAAUGCAUUUUUUCUAAAGUGCUUGACGGUACCAGGUGAAUAAGCACCGGCUAACUCCGUGCCAGCAGCCGCGGUAAUACGGAGGGUGCAAGCGUUAUCCGGAUUCACUGGGUUUAAAGGGUGCGUANGUGGGUUGGUAAGUCAGUGGUGAAAUCUCCAGGCUUAACUUGGAAACUGCCAUUGAUACUAUCAAUCUUGAAUACCGUGGANGUCAGCGGAAUAUGUCAUGUAGCGGUGAAAUGCUUAGAUAUGACAUAGAACACCAAUUGCGAAGGCAGCUGGCUACACGAAUAUUGACACUGAUGCACGAAAGCGUGGGGAUCAAACAGGAUUAGAUACCCUGGUAGUCCACGCCCUAAACGAUGGAUACUCGACAUACGCGAUAUACUGUGUGUGUCUGAGCGAAAGCAUUAAGUAUCCCACCUGGGAAGUACGAUCGCAAGAUUGAAACUCAAUGAAUUGACGG